GUCACGCGACAAGUGGGAGAAUGACGUCACUCGGCGGGGGCGUGACGUCACGCGGCGGAGGGCUCGAGCGCGUCGUCGCGCGAGGUGUCCGCGCGAGGAGAAAAAAAAAUUUGGCGGUAAAAUUCGACUUUUUGAAAAUUCACAACGGGUGCACCGCCAAAUGCCAUGGCCGAGCGAGGUGUUAAUGACGACUUGGAAUUCUGGCUGCAGAAGGCGAAAGAGUGGGAGCAUUUGUGUACUCAGGAAACAGCUGGACAUGUAACGGACGCAAUUCUUGCCGACAUAUGCUUCCGUCUGCCAGCGCUGCAGGAAUUCCUCGCGAAACUUUGCGACAUCACCAGCCACGGGGGUGUGACAGGCGCUAUUCGACGCUUCCCACUGAUUGGUCAGCUGCUUGGCCGCCUGUGCUGCAACGUUGCUGUUGUGUCCAACGGAGAAAGCAUCAGAGGCCUGCGGCGUUGCCUUGGAAACUUUUACACAGCCCAGCCAGGCACUGCCCUUGAGCGCAAGGCCAACGAGUGGCUUCAGAACAUGGUGUCUGCUCUGUUGGGACCACACUAUUCCAGAGGAACAGAGGAAAUUCAGUUCUUUGUGGACGUCCUUGGCUGCUCACCAGAUGUGUACAACCACCAGCAGAACCUUCAUAUGGUGAACUCGUUAGUUAAGGAGUUGAGUGGCAGUCACUGGAGGCCAGGUCAUCAAAGCACAGGGGCUUGCAGGGAUGCCACCUUGCACAGCCUCUCUCUUGCCUGCUGGCCAGCGCUCGACCUCCCUGCCAUGUUGCCAUUGGUGGAGACAUUGCUUUGUUGCCACGGUGAGGGAACGGAAGAAGCCCUGGCGACCGGCUUCCUGCAAGCUGCAGGGGAUGCCCUGGCCAGCGGUCGGCUUCAGCUGUCGCGUGCCGCCAAGGAGAGCCUGUGGUUGCGCCACCUGCCAUCUCUGGAAGCCGCCGUGCUGGCGUUGGUGGAGAGGGUGGCUGCUCUGCCCCCAGGUUCAGCACCGGGCCGGCUACAGAGCCUUACAGAGGAGUCCCAUCUGCCUGCAGCGUGCGUUGACCACCCCGUCCUGUUUGGCGCAGUCCUCGGCAUACUCCGAGCGCUGCUUGCGGAUGCCGCCGGCGCUUGGCCGGUGUCGGCCAUCGCGCGCCGCUUCACCGCGUCUUUCCUGCGCGCCAGGCAGCAGGACGACGUCCAGCAGGUGCGGAUCCCUCUUCACCUCUACUUUCCGGCGCUGCUUCGGCCGCUGUUGCCUCUGAUUCUGCAGCCCUGCGAAGAUUUACCUCUCAAAUCCUGGCACCCCCAUCUGCUCAGGAUCACGAGUGGAACGCUGAACAUUCUUAGGAACCUCACGGCCUCCCAAACGGCCGAGCGGCACGAGCUGUGGACGCUGUUGGUGCAGUGUGGCGACUGGGCCGACGUGGUGCUGCAGGAGACCCUCACGGCGAGCCCUGGCGAAUUGGACACGCUCUUGAGCUUCCUCGGCUUCUACCACUGGCCCUGGCUCACUGAGCAGCAGCGAUUGGACGCCCAGGCGUCUCUGAAGGCGACGUGCGUUUGUCUCCGGGACCUUCUUGAUGCGGACGGGCUGGAUCCCAGUGACGUCACGGCCAUCCUGCCGUCUGUUCACACCCGUGUGACAGACGUCACCAAUCAACUCGCCGUGUACUUUCUCAUCUUCGCGGAAAGUGGCCGAGGAAUUUCGGAAGAGGUUUUGAAGCAAAUGCGCUGCCCGUGCGAGCUGGUGGACACGCUGGCAGCUGCCGCAGCCUGGGUGGAGCGUGCCCGCGCGCAACCGGGGGACCCCGCCAGCGCCCGGGCCGCCGCCAUCGUGAGACGGGUCCUGAGCGAGUGGCGAGGCGACGAGGGUCUCGGUGUCCCCCGAUAGCCCAGGGGAGCCCCUCCUCUCUCAAGCACAAGCAGUCGUGGUAUCCACAACGCCGCGGCUCUCGAAGGAACGGAGCAACCUCUACAAAAUGGUUGCCGCGAAGCCCAUAGAGGAGGAGGAGGCGCGUUGCUGCCUCUUCUCACCGGACGUGAAAGGGGCCCGUCCAGGCACACCGGGAACCCGUUCAAGCAUACCCGGAUCCGUUCAGGCACAACCGGACCCAUUCAGGCAAACCCGGACCCGCGCAGGCAACCCCGGAUCCGCGCGCCUCGCAACUAUUUGCAAGGACCAGAGGCCUUCCGUGGCGGUGUGUGCAGGCUUGCGAAUGCUGGGUACACACUCGGGAGCAAGGAGGCGGCUUGCCUGUGUAACCCUGGCUUGGGGCUGUGUUUUCAUGGCUGAGUGUUUGCAGGCCCCUCCAUGUGCUGUGAAGAAGGGCCAUCGCCACGAAACUUCAUCCAGUCAACGCUUUUUGUUAUGAAGGCCACAGUGUUAUUGACGAAUGUGUUGAGUGCUUUGUUUUUUGUGCAUCACUGCCAACGCAGUUUCACUAAAAGUUAAUGUUAAUAUUUCUUGAAGGUUAAUUAGGAUGUCUUGAUUUAAAUUGGCCCUCGUUAUCCAGAAAGUGCUGUAUAUCGGAUGCAAAUUAAUUAAUCCUGGCCUGUACUUAUAGAAUACUCGGAGAACAUUAGAUGACAUUUCAUAUUUUUUAUUAAUAUUAUUAUUUAGACCACAAUGAAUUACUGCCAAGCUCAUGCAGAUACAUCUAAAGCAGGAAUAACUGCCUGAAAAUAUCGACACGAAUAAGCUGUCAUAAGACGAUCAUAUAUUCUUACAUUUUCUCGUUUCUUUAAUCAUGGAAAAUGUGUGAGUUUGUUUUAAGUGUAAACGCCGCCAAAUAUAACCACAAUUUAAUAUUUAACUUCGAUUUCACGUUAAUUUGUGUUUGCGCAUUGCUUUUGAUCUCUCGCGUGUGAAGGCGCGGUCGAUUUUUUCCCCCCCUUCUAUUUGUUUAGUAAUUUCGGUGACCCCCGGUCACUCUUGUCAGAUGGGACUCUUUCGUUGGUCUCUUGAGUUCAUACACCUGCUGAAAGAAAAUCAACAGUCCCGAGAUGUGUGCGUGACACCAGCAGAGUGCCUAUCCUGUGCGGGUAAAGCUACCGCCUAUUUAAUCCACCCGUGGGGGGGGGGGUGGAGGGGGGGGGGAGCUUUAAUGUCAUUGCCGCUUGCCCGGUGAGCUGUUCGAUCCCUGGGUGGGACGACAUGAAAGCCGAGUGUCAAACCGCCCGCUGAUGAGUAUAAAAGUGUUCGUGGAAAGUGGGGUUUUUAAAAUAUUAAUAAUAAAAGUGAUGUCACGCCCUUUAGAUAGACCUAAGAGAUGCUCGCAGCCAGAUCCGCGGUGCACAAAUGCAACAAAAAAAAACACCAGCGGGUGUUGGGGUGGGGUUGUGAUGUUUACCCCACAAUAUGUGGGUUAUAAAUCACAAAUAAGCACAGUGCAACCCGAGGCCUGAUCGACAUCGGUUUUGAUGUGUCCGUAAAUAUACGUGACCAACCGGCUCGGCGGCUCAACGGUUCGGGGGGGGGCGCGAAAGUCGGAAUGGUAAGAGGUGAGCGAGUUCAAAUGAUCCUGGUCGGAGGGUUGACUCGCCCCAUCACCCCUACGGGGUUGACAAAAACGAGAGCCGCUUUUUGCGCGAACUCUUAUGGCCUUUGGAGAGACUUGCCGCCGUAGGUGUGCGGGAUUUGCAACCGCUCGUUCGCGGCUGUAAACGGGGAGACGUCAAAUUCAAAGUUUCCUGCUCGAGUGAGCGUCGAGGCGCGUUGGUGCUCAUAUCCCGUUCACAGCCCUGCAGAGCCCGAGGUGGAAUAUAUGCAUCCCGAUGGUGUUGGUGAGUCUGUCCAGCCGCUGGAGACAAUCCACAAAGCGGUACCUAUUUUAUCAACCAACGGAGGGAUGUUGUAAAUGAGCAACUGCCCCAAUAGUCGCCUGAGCAGGAAAUAACUUUGACCCUUGACUUUUAACGUACUCGGAAAUAUAGGUUGCCAAUCAUAAAAGUCCCAACAUUGGCCGCAUAAAUCCUUCGGUGGAUUUCAAUUUUGUGUACGCACUAUGAGAAGGGCCACCUUUAGUGUUUGUUGGCCAGGGCCCCCCCCCAGAGUACGUGUGUGCACGCGCGAGCGUGCGAGCGUGCGAGCGAGCGAGCGAGCACUGUUUGCCUUUCACUUUUAUUUUCUCGCGUUAUUUAACAUUCUGGCAAGAUCCCACGCUGUUCCUUCCUGCCGCAAGGCGCGCAGCUCUAGGCGUGGAAAGUAUCCAGCGGUUCUCCAGCAAAAACAGGAAAAUAAAACCCCCGCUUUCGUUGCAACGGGGCACAGUAGACGGCACGAAAGCCGGUCGAAUGGUUUCCAUUAUGCGGCGGUGGCGGCGGCGGCUGCAUUUAGCACUCAGACUUUGCAGACGAGCAGCCUCGCUCGCUCCGGGGGGAAUGCGCUUGGCAACUCGGAGCUCGGGAGUCUCAACGCUGCUGCGAGCACCGGCGAUUAUUGUUGUCUGCACAAUAUUUAUAACUCGUGGAAUUUUUUUUCCCGCCCCCCCCCCCUUUAAAAAAGUGUGUUAUUUUUUCAUUUCCGCAAGUGCUUUUAAUUAUAAAUGCUAAUCGUGUUUCUCUGCCAGUGUCGGUUGGCAGGGCAGAAAAUGUGUUUUAGUUUUUAUUUCUUUUUUAAGCGUAGAAACGUUUUUAAGUGGCCAAAUGUUGUCCAGGGGAGCGACGAGCUGAAUGCUACACCCCGAGCGCCGUGGGUAUCUUACCUUAGGGGUCGGUUCGUUUUUUAUCCCAGCGGAGAAAUCGCAACAACAAAAUUAACUCGACACAUUCGCCAAUAACACCGUCUGGCCUUUAGAAACAUGCGUUUAGACUAUUGAGAUUAUUUUUCUGUGACGAAUGUCCAAAUGAUAAGCCACUUUGGCUAUCAUUUGUGGCCAGGUCGUUUUUGAAAAAUAACUGAAUGCCUCGGUGGGCUUUGUCUGGACGGAGAUGGUUUAGUUUUAUUUGUAUGUGUUUGGGAGAUUUGUUUGCCUUGUACUUUGCAUUCCUGUAAUGUUUUGGUAUUGUUUGUUGUAAGGUUCUCAUCCCGUGCCCCAACUGGACAGCUUGUAAAAAAAAGAGCUUCAUAGCUCGUCGGAUUCCUGCAGUCUAAGUAAAUAUUCUGAUUCGAAAAAUUAUAGGCGACGUUUUGAGCAAAGGCUCUUCCUUCUUGCCAUGUGUGUGUGUGUGGGUGCCGUGGUGAAGGGACAUUGCCCGAAACGUCACCCAUUAUAUAUUUACGUUAUCUUUUUUAAGUCCACGGUGUUGUCGGCAAACGAGUCGGGCCUUUUCGGUCAUUGAGCCUGCGCGCACCACUGCAAUCACCAGAAAUGUUUUAAUGUUUGAUCGUCUCGUCUAUAAAUGUUUGUUGCUCACUCACAAGAAAGCUUGUUGCGUGACAUAUUCUCAUUUGCCGUCGUUUAAACCCGUGCAAGAAGACCACGUGCCGUCGUUUUCGAGCAAAUUGGUAAAUUGAAAACUGCUUUCGGACUCAUCCUGUGGGUAGAAUAUGUAAAGAAAUGUUGUAAUACAGUCCGGGCGAUGCGUCUUAACCCAAUAACAGGGUUUUGUGUGUGGGAGCACAUGGCAUGUCCAAUGAGGAAGACACGGCACACGUGCGACGCUUGUCACGCUUGUCCAACACAUCCGUACUCAGCGCACCCGUUCAAAGACUUAUCCGUCGCUCCGUGUCAACGUCAGCCACGCGGAGAAGACGAUACCUCUUGCAAUAGUGUUUAUCUCCAGUCCAUUGAUGAACACAGGGUUGAGGAUUUCUCUAAGGUUAAUGUACGAGCAUUGUUCACGUUGAUUAAUUUAAAUGGGAGGAAGAUAAGCCUCCGAGAGCAAAUGUCGUGUGAUUGUGGCGAUGAGUGUUUAAGGAGGCUGCGCGGCUUUGCCGAGGAGACUCGUGGUGUGCAUUAUAAAUUGUCCGUUGACAAUUCCUGGGAUUUAUGUACACAAUUUCCUUCGAAAGUUUUAUUUUUUAAUCUGUAGCUGCUCCCACGGUGUUGGAACCACCCUGGCGUCUUCUUUUCCUGACCAUCUCCACUCUGCGAUCUCUGUUCCCCCUACGCGUGGAGAUUCUGCAUUCCCACGGCUGAAUCCAGGCUCUCCGUAGGGUGCGUAUGUGUGUAUGUUGCAAUUCUUUCGCACCGUACGUAGCCAACCGUGCUAAUCGGAGGUGUGGUAGAAGGACAACAAACUAAACACAAAGAGCAGUUCUAAGAAAAUGAGUU